rnacentral:rRNA from 1 species
UACGGAGGGGGCUAGCGUUGUUCGGAAUUACUGGGCGUAAAGCGCACGUAGGCGGCUUUGUAAGUUAGAGGUGAAAGCCCGGGGCCCAACUCCGGAAUUGCCUUUAAGACUGCAUCGCUAGAAUUGUGGAGAGGUAAGUGGAAUUCCGAGUGUAGAGGUGAAAUUCGUAGAUAUUCGGAAGAACACCAGUGGCGAAGGCGGCUCACUGGACCGGCAUUGACGCUGAGGUGCGAAAGCGUGGGGAGCAAACAGG